rnacentral:rRNA from 1 species
UACAGAGGUCUCAAGCGUUGUUCGGAUUCAUUGGGCGUAAAGGGUGCGUAGGCGGCUCGGUAAGUCGGGUGUGAAAUCUCGGAGCUUAACUCCGAAACUGCAUUCGAUACUGCCGUGCUUGAGGACUGGAGAGGAGACUGGAAUUUACGGUGUAGCGGUGAAAUGCGUAGAUAUCGUAAGGAAGACCAGUGGCGAAGGCGGGUCUCUGGACAGUUCCUGACGCUGAGGCACGAAGGUCAGGGGAGCAAACGGG